rnacentral:rRNA from 1 species
GGGCCCGCACAAGCGGUGGAGUAUGUGGUUUAAUUCGAUGCAACGCGAAGAACCUUACCAGGGUUUGACAUCCUGCGAAUCUCUUGGAAACAGGAGAGUGCCUUCGGGAGCGCAGUGACAGGUGGUGCAUGGCUGUCGUCAGCUCGUGUCGUGAGAUGUUGGGUUAAGUCCCGCAACGAGCGCAACCCACGUCUUUAGUUGCCAGCAUUUAGUUGGGCACUCUAGAGAGACCGCCGGUGAUAAACCGGAGGAAGGUGUGGAUGACGUCAAGUCAUCAUGCCCCUUACAUCCUGGGCUACACACGUCAUACAAUGGCGCGUACAGAGGGUUGCCAACCCGCAAGGGGGAGCUAAUCCCAGAAAGCGCGUCGUAGUCCGGAUUGUUCUCUGCAACUCGAGAACAUGAAGUCGGAAUCGCUAGUAAUCG